rnacentral:tRNA from 1 species
GGGUUGCUAACUCAAUGGUAGAGUACUCGGCUUUUAACAUCCACUCCAUCCGACGAGCUCCGGGUUCGAGUC